rnacentral:misc_RNA from 1 species
AAGAGAAAGGACGAAAGUCCAACCUCCAACCCUUUGUUAUAAACCACUAGUUGCCUUGCCUUAUGCUGGACAAUUGAGGCACGGGGAAACCCGGGCCCCAAUCUACAGCCUCUAGGGCAAUGGACCUUUAAACUCGAAUAUCAGUGUAGUCUGAGAAAAAAUUCAAUGAAUUA